UACGUAGGGGGCGAGCGUUGUCCGGAUUUACUGGGCGUAAAGGGUGAGUAGGCGGUUAUGUAUGUCAGAUGUAAAAGGCACAGGCUUAACUUGUGUAUGCAUUUGAAACUGCAUAACUUGAGUGCAGGAGAGGUAAGCGGAAUUCCUAGUGUAGCGGUGAAGUGCGUAGAUAUUAGGAGGAACACCGGUGGCGAAGGCGGCUUACUGGACUGUAACUGACGCUGAGUCACGAAAGCGUGGGUAGCAAACAGGAUUAGAUACCCCCGUAGUCCCU
rnacentral:rRNA from 1 species